rnacentral:rRNA from 1 species
CCUACGGGGGGCUGCAGUGGGGAAUAUUGGACAAUGGGCGCAAGCCUGAUCCAGCAAUGCCGCGUGUGUGAAGAAGGCCUGCGGGUUGUAAAGCACUUUACGCAGGAAAGAAGGGGUGAAAGUUAAUACCUUUCAUCAUUGACGUUACCUGCAGAAUAAGCACCGGCUAACUCCGUGCCAGCAGCCGCGGUAAUACGGAGGGUGCGAGCGUUAAUCGGAGUUACUGUAGGUGAAGCGCGCAUAGCGGGGUGAAAGCCCUGGGCUUAACCUGGGAACGGCGGUGGAUACUGUCGGGCUAGAGUGUGGUAGAGGGGAGUGGAAUUUCCGGUGUAGCAGUGAAAUGCGUAGAGAUCGGAAGGAACACCAGUGGCGAAGGCGGCUCCCUGGACUAACACUGACGCUGAGGUGCGAAAGCGUGGGGAGCAAACAGGAUUAGAUACCCCUGUAGUC